AACCUUACGGUUUUGUAUUGGAAUGAGUUAAGUAUAAACCCCUUAACAAGUAUCAAUUGGAGGGCAAGCGGUGCCAGCAGCCGCGGUAAUUCCAGCUCAAUAGCGUAUAUUAAAGUUGUUGCAGUUAAAAAGCUCGUAGUUAAUCUUCUGUUAAUUUUUAUAUAUAAUAUCUCGUUAUUUAUAUAAUAUUAACAUAAUUCAUAUUACUUUUUAGUAUAUGAAACUUUACUUUGAGAAAAUUAGAGUGCUUAAAGCAGGCUAUUGCCUUGAAUACUCCAGCAUGGAAUAAUAUUAAGGAUUUUUAUUCUUCUUAUUGGUUCUAGAAUAAAAAUGAUGAUUAAUAGGAACAGUUGGGGGCAUUUGUAUUUAACAGUCAGAGGUGAAAUUCUUAGAUUUGUUAAAGACAAACUACUGCGAAAGCAUUUGCCAAGGAUGUUUUCAUUAAUCAAGAACGAAAGUUAGGGGAUCGAAGACGAUCAGAUACCGUCGUAGUCUUAACCAUAAACUAUGCCAACUAGAGAUUGGAGGUUGUUCCUUUACUCCCUAA
rnacentral:rRNA from 1 species